CCUACGGGGUGCAGCAGUCGAGAAUCAUUCACAAUGGGGGAAACCCUGAUGGUGCGACGCCGCGUGGGGGAAUGAAGGUCUUCGGAUUGUAAACCCCUGUCAUGUGGGAGCAAAUUAAAAAGAUAGUACCACAAGAGGAAGAGACGGCUAACUCUGUGCCAGCAGCCGCGGUAAUACAGAGGUCUCAAGCGUUGUUCGGAAUCACUGGGCGUAAAGCGUGCGUAGGCCGUUUCGUAAGUCGUGUGUGAAAGGCGCGGGCUCAACCCGCGGACGGCACAUGAUACUGCGAGACUAGAGUAAUGGAGGGGGAACCGGAAUUCUCGGUGUAGCAGUGAAAUGCGUAGAUAUCGAGAGGAACACUCGUGGCGAAGGCGGGUUCCUGGACAUUAACUGACGCUGAGGCACGAAGGCCAGGGGAGCGAAAAGGAUUAGAUACCCUUGUAGUC
rnacentral:rRNA from 1 species